UAGUUGUAAAAAGCAUAUUGCGGGCGAAUGCAGGUCAUAAAAGGCGCUGGUCGAAUUUUUUAACGCUUUUUAUUGCAUUUCGUCGAUGUUCAGCUGGACAAAUGCUUCAUCUAUUGCUGUACUGUGCAUGACACAGAGUUUGUGUCUUUCAUUCAUGUUAAAGGUAAGUUUGAUGUCUAAGAUUACAGGUAGCGUUAAGUGGUUUAAUGAGUCCAAAGGAUUCGGUUUCAUUACUCCUGAAGAUGGUAGCAAAGACGUGUUCGUACACUUCUCUGCCAUCCAGAGCAAUGGCUUCAAAACUCUGGCUGAAGGUCAGCGUGUAGAGUUUGAAAUCACUAGCGGUGCAAAAGGUCCUUCUGCUGCUAACGUUAUCGCUAUUUAAUUAUACCGAUUUCUAAAAAACCCGCCUAUUGGCGGGUUUUUUUUU
rfam:Lonsdalea quercina strain ATCC 29281 genome assembly, contig: Ga0052894_scaffold00001.1